CAGAGUUUGCCCAUGCCUGGUUUAGAAUCAUAAGCGGGACACAAAGGGAAAGACGUAGGAUGCUUCCAAGCAGUUAUUUAUUGGCAGUAUGCUAGAUGUCAAAGCACAACUUAGUGAAUGUGUGUGUAUGCACUGUUUAUUUGCACUGUGAACAGCUCUUAGAUUCUUCCUCAUGUUCAGGUGGAAUCUCCUUUCCUACCAUUUGAACCCAUGGCUCCAUUGAGUCCUAGUUUCCAGGGCAGCAGAAAACAACCGCCUCCCUCUUCCUUCUGACGUUCUAUAUAUACAAGAAGAAUAAGCAAGUACUGAACAAUACUUGGCUACGUGGGCAAGUAAUUUGCCUUGCUGUUUCCCGCGUCUUGCUUGCUCAGUAUGUUUCUUUUAGGUGGGUGGGAGACAGGAAGAGGCACCUUGAGAUGAAGAGAUAGGAAACACAAGCAACCGCCAUCUCUGUUGGUGCUCAAAUCCGACGGAAGGAAGUAUGGCUUCGUUCUAGCAGGGUUUGCAAACAGCCCUGGGCUUCUGCCUCAACAAGAUUCAGAAGAUGGCCUCCACCUUCAAAGAGGGUCCAGCAGCACUGCAUGAAACCAUCACAAAUUUCCUAGGGACACGAGAAUACGUUUUGAUGGAUGCUCAGCUCCACAUCAGAUCCAAAGUGGAAGACGUUGUCUUGAUUUUAAUGCCUUGGCGAGCCCUUGUGAUGUUGGCAAAGUUCCCAGUUAAGGUACAAGUGAGCUUCAGCUUCCUGGCCAUACAGUCCGUGACAAUAGGAGAAGCAAACCAGGUGAGUGCAAGACAGGUUGGAAUAAAGCACAAAGACAUCAUCUACAUAAGGCAUUGCCUCAUCCUCCCAUACAUUGUAAACAGUGUUGAAAAAAACAAUGUACCAAAGUUGCGCACCAGCACCAGUCCAGGGAUCCCCACUUUGAGCUGUAGUGUUUUAAUAGGAG
rnacentral:lncRNA from 11 species